AACAACAACAAUAAUAACAACAACAAUCUAGUAUAUAUUAUUAAAUUAGUGGAAUAUGGGAAGGAUAGUGUGUCCGUAGACUUUACCCCUAUCUUGGGGUAGAAAUGUUAUUUUCAAAUAGACACUCAAUAUCCUUUCCUCCAAAAAUUUCUCACCUUACUUUUGAAGAGACUCAGCCCUCACAAAUCGGAAGUACGAGAUAACUUAGUAGACUCGUUCAUUGUAACUCGUGUACCAAACCACAUUGGCCAAUUUGCCG
rnacentral:lncRNA from 1 species